rnacentral:rRNA from 1 species
UACGUAGGGGGCAAGCGUUAUCCGGAUUUACUGGGUGUAAAGGGAGCGUAGACGGCAGAGCAAGUCUGAAGUGAAAGCCCGCGGCCCAACUGCGGGACUGCUUUGGAAACUGCCCGGCUAGAGUGCUGGAGAGGUAAGCGGAAUUCCUAGUGUAGCGGUGAAAUGCGUAGAUAUUAGGAGGAACACCAGUGGCGAAGGCGGCUUACUGGACAGUAACUGACGCUGAGGCGCGAAAGCGUGGGGAGCAAAUAGG